rnacentral:rRNA from 1 species
UAGGGAAUCUUCCACAAAGGGCGAAAGCCUGAUGGAGCAACGCCGCGUGUGUGAUGAAGGGUUUCGGCUCGUAAAACACUGUUGUAAGAGAAGAAUGACAUUGAGAGUAACUGUUCAAUGUGUGACGGUAUCUUACCAGAAAGGAACGGCUAAAUACGUGCCAG